rnacentral:rRNA from 1 species
UGUGGGGUGACGGCGUGCCUAUCGAAAAAUGAGUCUGCGAGUCAGUGGCAUGUGGCGAGCAUAACCCGUGUGGGGUAUGCGUAGCGAAGGCGAGUCUUAAAAGGCGUUUGAGUCGCGUGUCCUGGACCCGAAGCGGGAUGAUCUAGCCCUGAGCAGGUUGAAGCGCGGGUAAGACCGCGUGGAGGACCGAACCCACCUGGGUUGAAAACCGGGGGGAUGACUUGGGGCUAGGGGUGAAAGGCCAAUCAAAUUCCGUGAUAGCUGGUUCUCUCCGAAAUGCAUUUGGGUGCAGCGUCGGGUCAUUACGUCCCGGGGGUAGAGCUACUGGAUGCUUGCGGGCCCGUAUCGGGUACCAACAGCAACCAAACUCCGAAUACCGGUGACGCGUAUCCCGGCAGUGAGUCGGCGGGGGAUAAGCUUCGUCGUCGAAAGGGAAACAGCCCAGACCGUCGUCUAAGGUCCCGAAGCGUGUGCUAAGUGGGAAAGGAUGUGGAGUCGCAUAGACAGCCAGGAGGUUGGCUCAGAAGCAGCCACCCUUGAAAGAGUGCGUAACAGCUCACUGGUCUAGUGGUUCCGCGCCGACAAUGUAGCGGGGCUCAAGCACACCACCGAAGACGCGGCAGUAUUUUGUACUGGGUAGGAGAGCGUCCCAUGAGGGGCGAAGCGGCCGUGUGAACGCGCCGUGGACUUCAUGGGAGUGAGAAUGCAGACAUGAGUAGCGAGAGACGGGUGAAGAUCCCGUCCGCUGGAUGACCAAGGGUUCCAGGGCCACGUUCAUCGUCCCUGGGUGAGUCGGGUCCUAAGGCGAGGCCGACAGGCGUAGUCGAAUGGAUGAACGGGUCGAUAUUCCCGUACCGGCUUUCAGCCGCCAAAACCGAGGCUUGGAGUACUAACCUCCGGGUCCGGGCUUACUGCUCCUUCGGGGGCGGGAUGCCCUGGCCUGUUGGGACCGAUCCUUGUAGUAGGUCAGCGCAGGAGUGACGCAGAAGGGUAGCCGGCCGCGGAGGUGGUCUUCCGUGGUCAAGCACGCAGGGCGUGGGACAGGCAAAUCCGUCCCGCAUGGGUCCGAGGUGCGAUGAUGGGGGCCUUAUGGCCCGAUAUCCGGUGAUCCCGGCUGCCGAGAAAAGCUUCGGCGUCAGGCUCGAAGCCGCCCGUACCCCAAACCGACACUGGUGGUCAGGUAGAGAAUACCAAAGCGAUCGAGCGAAUCCUGGUCAAGGAACUCGGCAAAUCACUCCCGUUCCUUCGGUUUAAGGGAGACCCCCGAUGGUGAACACACUUGCUGUGGGAGCUUUUGGGGGUGGCACAGACCAGGGGGUAGCGACUGUUUACCAAAAACACAGGUGCAUGCGAAGGCGCAAGCCGCUGUAUAUGCACUGACGCCUGCCCGGUGCCGGAAGGUUAAGAGGAUCCGUCAGUCCUUCGGGAUGAAGCGGUGAAUUCAAGCCCCGGUAAACGGCGGUGGUAACUAUAACCAUCCUAAGGUAGCGAAAUUCCUUGUCGGGUAAGUUCCGACCUGCACGAAUGGCGUAA